AGAGGAUAAAUACUGGAAGGUUUUAUUCUUCAAAGCUUCGGCACCUGAGGAUGGGACUGCGUCGGAUUAGCUUGUUGUCGGGAUAAUUACCCGACAAGGCGAUAAUCCGUACGGGUUGUGAGAGCAAUAGCCCGGAGAUGGAUUCUGAGACAUGAAUCCAGGUCCUACGGGACGCAGCAGGCGCGAAACCUUCACAAUGCCUGAAAGGGUGAUGAGGGAACUCUGAGUGACUUCGCAAUGCGAAGUCUUUUGCCAAGUGCAAAAAGCUCGGUGAAUAAGUGGUGGGCAAGACAGUUGCCAGCCGCCGCGGUAAUAACUGCGCCACGAGUGGUGAUCUCGUUUAUUGGGCUUAAAGCGUUCGUAGCCGGUUUUAUAAGCAUCUGGUGAAAUCCGAUAGUAAACUAUUGGGCUGGCUAGGUGUACUGUAAGACUAGGGACCGGUAGGGGCCGGGAGUACUCCUAGGGUAGGGGUUAAAUCCUUUAAUCCUAGGGGGACUACCAGUGGCGAAGGCGCCCGGCUAGAACGGGUCCGACGGUGAGGGACGAAAGCUGGGGGAGCGAUCCGGAUUAGAUACCCGGGUAGUCCCAGCUGUAAACGAUGCCCGCUUGGUGUGGUGAAACUUUCGUGGUUUUGCCGUACCGU
rnacentral:rRNA from 1 species